AGUUAAGUAAACCACUUCUUAUGCCUGGUCUGCCUUCCCGACUACGUUAACAAGACACCUGAGGGCAGGGCACAUCAUGGGUUCCUAUUUCUGGGCUUAGACCCAAGAACUCAAUAAAUGGUUGUGAUGCUGACAACAAUAACAACACUGAUAAAAGGAUCAACAAGCAGACGAGGUCUGGGGACUCAGCCUUUGCAACGCUAACAUUCUCCCCCUGCUGCCCCAGAAUGAAUAAAGGGAUGAACAGAUAAUAAACAGGGUGAGCUUGUGUCUGCCCCUGAAGAUCCCUCUAAUUGCAUACCUACCUCUUAAACCCCAAUUCAUUGACAGAGAAGAGAACAAAUUGAUGAUGAACUCUUGUUGCUGAUUGGCUGUGACCACAUUUAUGAUGUAAAUAAGUGAGAGGAAACUCCUAGGCUCUGACUGGCCUGGGGCAGGAGGCCCCAGGAGCAGAAGGGCAUCCGAUAUGGAAGCAGAAAAGCAAGAGCAGUGACAAGCCUGGUCAAAGAGCUCCCUGGGUGCAGAACGGCAGCCUAUGAGAAAAGGUUGCUGGCCAGUGUGUUAAGCAAUGAGGAUGCGAUGGCACUAGAAAUGCAAGCCCUCAGUCUCUCCGCUGGAGAGAUGGACCCACAAGCAGGUAGGUAUAAAACAGUGUGGUAAGUAAAAAACUAGAGAAAUUACAGGGAGCACUGUGGGGUGGACCUAACUCAGGAAGUGGACCUCACCCAGGUGGGCUCUUCCUUCUGGAGGAGGUGACACCUCGGCAGUCUUAAAGGAUGGAGUAGGGAGGCAGUGAGGGGCAAGACGGGGGCAGUGUAGAAAGGGCAUUUGGGGCAAAAGGAAUCAGCAUGAGCAAAGGAACAAAUGUGACCAACAGAAUGGCUUAUGAGAGGCACUCCAGGCAGCUAGAUAAUGCUAGAACAGUACAUGAGGGUGGGGAGGGGUAGGAGACAGGCUGGAACUACAGACAGGAGCCAGGGCAUGGGGCCCCUGUAAACUGCAUUCUGCAGGGUGGAAGUCUGGGUCCCUGUGUUUUUAAGCACAAGAGUGCUUACAACACCCUAAAGGUUUUACGCACGAGUGACUUAAGUUUCUAUCAUCUUCGAUUCAGGAGGUUUUCGGUUGUUGUUUUUUUUUUUUUCCCCAAAGGGAAACUGCAGGACAGCCUUGCAAGCUGCCCUAAUUGAGCUUCAGGAACCUCAGGGUCAGCACAGCCCUACCUGACUAACUACGGAAGGCAAGCACCCAGCUCCUUUGGUCCCCUGCC